AUUGAACGCUGGCGGCAGGCCUAACACAUGCAAGUCGAACGAGUGGCGGACGGGUGAGUAAUGUCUGGGAAACUGCCCGAUGGAGGGGGAUAACUACUGGAAACGGUAGCUAAUACCGCAUACCAUCGGAUGUGCCCAGAUGGGAUUAGCUAGUAGGUGGGGUAACGUCUCACCUAGGCGACGAUCCCUAGCUGGUCUGAGAGGAUGACCAGCCACACUGGACAUGAAACACGGUCCAGACCACUACGGGAGGCAGCAGUGGGGAAUAGUGCACAAGGGGCGCAAGCCUGAUGCAGCCAUGCCGGGUGUAUGAAGAAGGCCUUCGGGUUGUAAAGUACUUUCAGCGAGGAGGCGUUACUCGCAGAAGAAGCACCGGCUAACUCCGUGCCAGCCGCCGCGGUAAUUC
rnacentral:rRNA from 1 species